rnacentral:lncRNA from 1 species
AUGGAACUCUGCAGGGCUCCUUGUCCUGGUUGCAGGAGGCAGAUCCACAGACUUCCUUGUCCUGGCGUUGCAGGAGCAGAGUCACAGGGCUCCUUGUCCUGGCGUGGCAGGAGGCAGAGUCCACAGGCUCCUUGUCCUGGCGUUGCAGGAGGCAGAGUCACAGGGCUCCUUGUCCUGGCGUGGCAGGAGGCAGAGUCCACAGGGCUCCUUGUCCUGGCGUUGCAGGAGGCAGAGUCCACAGGGCUCCUUGUCCUGGCGCUGCAGGAGGCAGAGUCUACAUGAAUUUCUUGGAGUGGCCGUGCAAUACAAGACAUGAAUAGUGGAUUGAUGUGGACCACUCACACACACACACACACCAGGGGAAGGGCAGGAUGGGCAGCUUCUUGAUGCAAUACAUUAUCAUAAUGAGCCACUGACCCAAAAGACCGGCACACAGGCCACUUUCUGAAGGGAACUCAUUCAUUACAGUUCAUUCACCUCCUUCAUAACACCGGUGCAUUAAAGUGAUAUUUAACCGAACCAUGGGCCGAGGAGAUUGAACAACCUAUUCCCUGAUAGUUCCAGUAGUGUUCUUCGGUGACCUGGCCUCCAAACCUUACAGAACACAAGCUGAGGUAAACUGAGGAGAGAAGAAGAAGAUAGAGGCCUUGACAGAAGUGCUUUCACCUGGCAGGCUGUUCAAACUAUUAUUUAGUAGAAGAACAGAUAGAAGUGGAGGAAAAAGGGAAGUAGAAAGUGUUCAGUGUUGACCAUGUAAAGUACUGCAGCCCACUGGAGAACAGACACGUACUGUAGCUACAUACUUCUUCAGCCAAGACAAUUAGGCUUACACCUUGUCCAUCCUUCUGUGCACCAUCUAAUACCAGCUUCACACCACGGUGCCAACCUGAACUGCACCCUGCUGGCUUAGAUAUCUGGUCUGUUCCCAUUGUGGUUCCAGUGCUACGGUGGAUAUGUAACCAGGCCAGUACUAAGCUCUGCUAGGCACGGCUGGCUCACUAUUGAGA